rnacentral:sRNA from 1 species
GGGGACUUCUUAGGCGGGGGAGUGGAUGAGGAGGGAAAUGGCGUCGUUGAGAGCGGUGGUUUAGGUGGAGGAGAAGUUUCUGGGAGUGACGGAGUGUUCGGAGAAGGAUUUGGUGGAGAAGAAUUGAUGGGAGGAGGAAACGAAGGCUUAGGGCCACUACGGCGGCGAGGAGGAGAUGGCGGUGGAGGAGAAGCUGUGUUCACCGGCGGGGUUGAUUCGGAGGGAAGUGAACGAGGUGGUGGAGAAAUCGUAUUUCCCGGCGGAACUGUCUCGGAGGGAGGUGAAGAAGGCGGCGGAGAAGGUUUGGCGGGAAGGAAGGGUAAUGGCGGUGAACCGGAAGGAGCUGAGACGUGAGGAGACGGUGGAGAUGGAGAUUCCAACGGAGGAGGAGGAGGUGAUUCCAGUAGAGGAGGCGGUGGUGAUUCUAUAGGAGGAGACGGUGGGGAUUCAACCGGAAGAGGCGGUGGGGAAGCGGUGGGAGCGGAGAGAGGCGGUGGUGAAGGCAACGGCGGAGGAGAGCUCAAUGGUGGGGGAAGAGGAGACAAAGGAGGAGCUGGAGGUGAUGACGUGUCAGGUACGGAAUCUGCCGGAGGUAAUGACAUGGCAGGCGGGGAAGUUGCCGGAGCCGGCGAGGAAGAAGGAGAGAGCGACAUCAAAACGAUGCCGUUUUGUGAUGUAUGCAAAGGAUUGUGAAAACUUAUUCAGUCAGUAUUCACUAACUCAUAGAGGAGGAGGAAGCAGGUGAGGUUUUUGUCGUAUAGAGCAGUGUAAGCUUCUGACGCUGAGAAUGUGUUAUCGCUUUCUCACUGUACUUUUUUUCCUUUUUCCGGGGAUUAUUGGAUUAACAAUCAUUUCUUUUUUUUUUGUCUUAAAUUCUUUUGUUGUUUUUCAAUUUUAGUGCUAAGACAACACUAUUAGACAGCAGAGCAAAUCACUCUUGGUUUGGUUUGCAUCAUUGCCGCUUGUGAGCAACCACCAUUUCAUGUCUUU